rnacentral:rRNA from 1 species
AGAGUUUGAUCCUGGCUCAGGAUGAACGCUAGCUACAGGCCUAACACAUGCAAGUCGAGGGGCAUCGGGAGGGAAGCUUGCUUCCCUUGCCGGCGACCGGCGCACGGGUGAGUAACGCGUAUCGAACCUGCCCCAUACCCGGGGAUAGCCUUGCGAAAGUAAGAUUAAUACCCGAUGGUUUCCUUUUGUCUCCUGAUGAAAGGAAUAAAGAAUUUCGGUAUGGGAUGGCGAUGCGUCCGAUUAGCUUGUUGGCGGGGUAACGGCCCACCAAGGCAACGAUCGGUAGGGGUUCUGAGAGGAAGGUCCCCCACAUUGGAACUGAGACACGGUCCAAACUCCUACGGGAGGCAGCAGUGAGGAAUAUUGGUCAAUGGGCGAAAGCCUGAACCAGCCAAGUAGCGUGCAGGAUGACGGCCCUACGAGUUGUAAACUGCUUUUAGGCGGGGGUAAAGUGCCGGACGUGUUCCGGUAUUGCAAGUACCGCCAGAAAAGGGACCGGCUAAUUCCGUGCCAGCAGCCGCGGUAAUACGGAAGGUCCGGGCGUUAUCCGGAUUUAUUGGGUUUAAAGGGAGCGUAGGCGGGCUAUUAAGUCAGCUGUGAAAUCCGGCGGCUCAACCGUCGGCCUGCAGUUGAUACUGGUGGUCUUGAGUGCGCGCAGGGGCGUUGGAAUUCAUGGUGUAGCGGUGAAAUGCUCAGAUAUCAUGAAGAACUCCGAUCGCGAAGGCAGAUGCCCGGAGCGCAACUGACGCUGAGGCUCGAAAGUGCGGGUAUCAAACAGGAUUAGAUACCCUGGUAGUCCGCACAGUAAACGAUGGAUACUCGCGGUUCGGCUUUAGAGCGGAGCCGCCAAGCGAAAGCGUUAAGUAUCCCACCUGGGGAGUAC